CUUAAAGCUAUAACUUUAAGUAUAACCUGCUCAAUGAAAAUUAAAUAGCCGCAAUUUAUUUGUGCUAAGGUAGCAUAAUCACUUGUUUUUUAAUUAAAAAAUAGUAUGAAAGGUUUUACAAUUUAAUUUUUAUAUCAAUUCCAAUAUUUUAAAUUAUACUAAAUAUAAAAAUAUAUUUAUAUUUAAAAAAGACGACAAGACCCUAAUGAAUUUAACUUAUGUUUAGCUGGGGCAGCUUAAUAAUUAUUAUUUUAUUACUAAUCAUAAACUAUCUAAUAUUAUUAACUAAUUAAAUUACCAUAGGGAUAACAGCAUAAUAAUUUUUUACAGCUCUUAUUUUAAAAAUAUCUUAUGACCUCGAUGUUGAAUUAAACCUCUAAUUAACGCAAAAGUUAAAAAAGUAGGUCUGKUCGACCUAUAAAAGUUUACA
rnacentral:rRNA from 1 species